UACAGAGGUCCCAAGCGUUGUUCGGAUUCAUUGGGCGUAAAGCGCGCGUAGGCGGUUACUCAAGUCGGAUGUGAAAGCCCUCGGCUUAACUGAGGAAGUGCACCCGAAACUGAGUAGCUAGAGUACUAAAGAGGGUCGCGGAAUUCCCGGUGUAGAGGUGAAAUUCGUAGAUAUCGGGAGGAACACCGGUGGCGAAGGCGGCGACCUGGGUAGAUACUGACGCUGAGGCGCGAAAGCGUGGGGAGCAAACAGG
rnacentral:rRNA from 1 species